UACAGAGGGGGCAAGCGUUAUUCGGAAUUAUUGGGCGUAAAGGGCGCGUAGGCGGCCUGGCAAGUGGAUGGUGAAAUCCCUCGGCUUAACCGAGGAACUGCCAUCCAGACUGCUUGGCUUGAGACCGGGAGAGGUGAGUGGAAUUCCCAGUGUAGCGGUGAAAUGCGUAGAUAUUGGGAGGAACACCAGUGGCGAAGGCGGCUCACUGGACCGGUACUGACGCUGAUGCGCGAAAGCGUGGGGAGCAAACGGGGAUUAAGAAACCCGUAGUAACGUCCAG
rnacentral:rRNA from 1 species